AACAACGUGACCAGCCUGCUGGACUCAUGCUCUCUGCAGUUUUGUUCCAGGAAGGAUCUCGGUGUCCAGUACCUUAUCUUGUCAGGUGAUCUUCAGAUUCUUCCUAAGACAAUUCAAACGAAGUGGUUCAGUUUCCUGGUAUGGCGCUGGAACACAGGUUCCUCAGGAUACAGCAAUGAGGUCAGCACAAUGGCUCUGUAGACCCGCAGUCUGGUAAUCAGCCUAAUACUUCUUUUCUUCCACACUUCUCUUUAGAGUCUCCAAACACUGAGCUAGCUCUGGCAAUAUGUGUGUCAGCCUCAUUAUCGAUGGAGACAGCCCUGGAAAUUAUACUGCCAAGAAAUAGCAAACGGAGUGUCCUUGAACUCCUGGGAAGAAUAACCACUUCUUGUCAUAUAACACGGAAGAUUUCAAUCAGCUUUUGUAUGAGCAGUGAAUCUCUACCCCGUAAAUCUCAGCUAGAAUAGAAUCAGCAUCAGGUGCUUUGUCAUACAAGGGGAACUUCUUAAAAGACACUGAAAACCUCUUCAUUUGGAAGUUUGACUAGAGAAGGACUGACUUAAACCUGAGAUAUAUGGUCAAUGGUUUCAGCAUUGGUUGAUGAAAGAUUAUUGAAAAUGCUGUGGAAAUACUCAGCCCAUCUCUCCAGGAUCAUGUCCUUAUCUCACUAAUGUGGCUCCAUUAGUGCUGCAUAGUUGAGAUACACCAUAAAUCUUUAGCUCAUAAAUAUAGGGUUAAGGAAUUUUGGAUUACUACUAUCAACAUAAAAAUUUAAUUUCAUUUGCCUUCUUACUGGGGCAAGAAUCCUGCAUCUCCUUAAGCUUCACUUGCACUUUACUUUUGAUGGAGUUAAAUGCUGCCUUUUUAGAGAUAGAUAAACUAGCUUACUGGGAAAUUCUUUCCUGUCAGUUUUUAAUUCAUCAGCUUCUGAAUUUCCCCUUCAUGCUAUUUGCAAAUGUUCUGGCACAGAUGAGGAAAUGCAGGGCUGUACACCAAAUCUCUUAAAACUGCCCGUUCCUUUUCUGUUCCACUGUUGCCAACCCUAUGUUGGCUCAGCCUUCCCUUCCUAUUAAUAACUGUUCCUGCUCAGAGAAGUACUCUAAUGUAUUGAUUUUAAGUCUAAUCAUCUUGCCUUGGAGCUGCUGCUUUUGUGGAAUUCGAAUAUUUAGUUGAAGAGGUUAAAUCUAUAUAUAAUCUGUUUCAUCUCCCUCCUGAGUAUCAUCUUUAUCACUCAAAUAGGACAUGAAAGUCCUAUUUGUCUCUUCUCCUUACAAUAAGAUAGUCUAUCAAAUGCUAAUGUUUGCUGUGAGGAUGUACCCAUAAAGUUUUAUUGCAUUUGGGUAAAUGGAAGACAGUGUUGGUAAAAAGAUAAUGAGAUGACCUGCUGCCAUUUCCAACUUCAGUCCUCCCAAGGACUCUACCAUGUCUGAUAGUCUGUGUCUACUGUGGCAUUAAAAUCACACAGGAUUAUAA